rnacentral:lncRNA from 1 species
UUGUAUAUUGCUUUUAGAAGUAUGGUCAUUUUGAUAAUAUUAAUUCUGCCUAAGAGCAAGGUAGAUCUUUCCAUCUUCUGAGGUCCUGUUUGACUUCUUUCUUUAGGGUUCUGUAAUUUCAUUACAUAGAUCUUUCACCUCUUUCGUUGAAAAAAAAAGUUUAUUAAAGUCUAUCAACUUAAUUUAUUUUCUCAAAGAAUCAACUUUUUGUUCUGUCAAUUUUUUCAAAUGUUUCUUUUGUUUCAAUUUCAUUGAUUUCAUCUCUGAUUUUAAAUAUUUCCUGUCUUCUGCUGCUUUUGGUGUUGAUUUGUUCUUCUUUUUCUAGGGCUUUGAGGUGUAAUGUUAAGUCAUUUAUUUGUUGACUUUUUCUUCUUUUAAGGAAUGAACUCCAUGCAAUGAACUUUCCUCUUAGAACUGCUUUCAUAAUGUCUCAGAGAUUUCGAUAUGUUGUAUCUGUGUUCUCAUUCACCUCUAAAAAUAUUUUAAUCUCCUCCUUGAUGUCUUCUGCAACCCAUGGUUCAUUCAGUAGAAUAUUAUUUAGUCUACAGGUAUUGGAGUGGAUUUUUUUCUUAUUUUAUCAUUGAUUUAUAAUUUCAUUCCAUUAUGAUCUGAUAGAAUGCAGGGUAGUAUCUCUACGUUUUAUAUUUGCUGAGUUGCUUUGUGGUAUAAUGUAUGGUCUAUUUUAUAGAAGGAUCUGUGUGCUGCUGAGAAGAAAGUGUAUUUUCUCAUCGAAGGAUGAAAUAUUCUAUAUAUGUCAGUUAAGUCUGUUAUUGAUUGUAUUAUUGAGUUCUAUAGUUUCUUUGUUCAGCUUUUGUUUGGAAGAUCUAUCUAAUGAUGAAAGAAGUAUGUUAAAGUCACCCAAAAUUAUUGUGUUGUGGUCUAUUUGACUCUUAAACUUGAGAAGAGUUUGUUUGAUGAACAUAGAUGCUCCAUUGUUUGGGGUAUAUAUAUUUAUAGUUGUUAAGUCAUGUUGGUGUAUGGUUCCCUUGAGCAGUACGUAGUGUCCUUCUUUAUCCUUUUUGAUUGACUUUAGCUUGAAGUCUACUUUAUUUGAUAUGAGGAGGGAAACCCCUGCUUGCUUCCACAGUCCAUGUGAGUGGUAUGAUUAUUCCCAGCCUUUCACCUUAAGUCUGUGGAUGUCUUUUCCUAUGAGAUGAGUCUCUUGGAGGCAGC